GGUGGUUGGUCACGUCUGCUGUGGAAACGCAACGCUUAACGUUGCGCGGGCAGUGGGUACGGGCUGACUAGAGUGCAGUAGGGGAGUCUGGAAUUCCUGGUGUAGCGGUGAAAUGCGCAGAUAUCAGGAGGAACACCGGUGGCGAAGGCGGGACUCUGGGCUGUAACUGACACUGAGGAGCGAAAGCAUGGGGAGCGAACAGGAUUAGAUACCCUGGUAGUCCAUGCCGUAAACGUUGGGCACUAGGUGUGGGGGGCAUUCCACGUUCUCCGCGCCGUAGCUAACGCAUUAAGUGCCCCGCCUGGGGAGUACGGUCGCAAGGCUAAAACUCAAAGGAAUUGACGGGGGCCCGCACAAGCGGCGGAGCAUGCGGAUUAAUUCGAUGCAACGCGAAGAACCUUACCAAGGCUUGACAUGCACUGGAUCGUCCUGGAAACAGGUCUUCCCUUUUUGGGCUGGUGUACAGGUGGUGCAUGGUUGUCGUCAGCUCGUGUCGUGAGAUGUUGGGUUAAGUCCCGCAACGAGCGCAACCCUCGUUCUAUGUUGCCAGCACGUGAUGGUGGGAACUCAUAGGAGACUGCCGGGGUCAACUCGGAGGAAGGUGGGGAUGACGUCAAAUCAUCAUGCCCUUUAUGUCUUGGGCUUCACGCAUGCUACAAUGGCCGGUACAGAGAGAAGCGAGCCCGUGAGGGUCAGCGAAUCCCUUAAAGC
rnacentral:rRNA from 1 species